GAUGAACGCUAGCUACAGGCUUAACACAUGCAAGUCGAGGGGCAGCGGUAUCGAAAGCUUGCUUUCGGUAGCCGGCGACCGGCGCACGGGUGAGUAACGCGUAUCGAACCUGCCUCAUACUCGGGAAUAGCCUUGCGAAAGUAAGAUUAAUGCCCGGUGUUUUCAGAGUCCCGCAUGAGGCUUUGAACAAAGAUUUAUCGGUAUGAGAUGGCGAUGCGUCCCAUUAGCUUGUUGGCGGGGUAACGGCCCACCAAGGCAUCGAUGGGUAGGGGUUCUGAGAGGAAGGUCCCCCACAUUGGAACUGAGACACGGUCCAAACUCCUACGGGAGGCAGCAGUGAGGAAUAGUGGUCAAUGGGCGGAAGCCUGAACCAGCCAAGUAGCGUGCAGGAAGACGGCCCUCCGGGUUGUAAACUGCUUUUAGUUGGGAAUAAAACGGGGCUCGUGAGCCCCCUUGCAUGUACCAUCAGAAAAAGGACCGGCUAAUUCCGU
rnacentral:rRNA from 1 species